UCCACGAGACUUCAUCGGGCUCAAUCUUGUUCGUAACCCAAAUAUCGAUCUCAGAUUUGCCACCCCGCCACCGCUUUACUAACACCGCAAGCUUCUCUUCUCUUACCACAUAUAGACUCCCCAAAAAUUCAUCGAUGAAGGGUUGAGGUAGAGGCAGACGCGGUCCGAAUCUCUCUCUAGUAAAAUCAAAGCAUAUUAAAUAACAAUCUUCUGAUCUUCUAUCUUUAGCAUACCAGUAAGUAUUUCCCUUCAAAGACACGCCAUCUUGCAUAAACGCUAUAUCCCAUUUAAGAGGGAAACUAGAAACCAUCCGUGAAUUAGACCUCAAAUUGUAGAUUUCAAGUCUAUUAGGGUAACUAUCGAAAAC
rnacentral:sRNA from 1 species